GUGCCAGCAGCCGCGGUAAUACGAAAGGGGCUAGCGUUGUUCGGAAUUACUGGGCGUAAAGCGCACGUAGGCGGCUUGGCAAGUGAGGCGUGAAAGUCCUGGGCUCAACCUGGGGACGGCGCUUCAGACUGCCUCGCUCGAGUCCGGAAGAGGGUGGUGGAAUUCCGAGUGUAGAGGUGAAAUUCGUAGAUAUUCGGAGGAACACCGGUGGCGAAGGCGGCCACCUGGUCCGGUACUGACGCUCAAGUGCGAAAGCGUGGGGAGCAAACAGGAUUAGAUACCCUGGUAGUCCACGCCGUAAACGAUGGGUGCUAGAUGUUGGGGAGCUUGCUCUUCGGUGUCGUAGCCAACGCGUUAAGCACCCCGCCUGGGGAGUACGGCCGCAAGGUUAAA
rnacentral:rRNA from 1 species